rnacentral:rRNA from 1 species
GGAUGCGAUCAUACCAGCACUAAAGCACCGGAUCCCAUCAGAACUCCGAAGUUAAGCGUGCUUGGGUGAGAGUAGUACUAGGAUGGGUGACGUCCUGGGAAGUCCUCGUGUUGCAUUCC